UACAGAGGUCCCAAGCGUUGUUCGGAUUCAUUGGGCGUAAAGGGUGUGUAGGUGGCGCCGUAAGUCGGGUGUGAAAUCUCGGGGCUUAACUCCGAAACUGCAUUCGAUACUGCGGUGCUUGAGGACUGGAGAGGAGACUGGAAUUCAUGGUGUAGCAGUGAAAUGCGUAGAGAUCAUGAGGAAGACCAGUGGCGAAGGCGGGUCUCGGGACAGUUCCUGACACUGAGACACGAAGGCCAGGGGAGCAAACGGG
rnacentral:rRNA from 1 species